AAUUCGUAUUACGUUUUACUACACAAGUGUAAUAAAGCCAAUUGAGAACGAAGAUUGAGGUUGGUUUUCGGAGCGAAAGUUGCGCAUUGAGAUAACUUACCCUUGGGUCAUCGGUAGCUGUUUAAAAAAUACAAGAAUAUUUUCAAAAUGGCUACCAAAUUAAGAGAAAGUUGAUGGCGUCGGCUAACGUGAGUGUCUCUUUGUAAGAAUACGUGAAAUGAAAUUGGAAGUGGGACGCGAAGAUGCAAGCAGACGCUUUCUUAGGACAAGUGUUGGGUGGAUAUUCGGUUUGCAGUGAACAUUCUUAGAAAGUGAGGUUGUAAAAUACAAUGAUGGAACAAUUAUAAUGGUGUACUAUCAAAAAUAACUUGUUCACAAAAGACUCCAUUGAGUCUUUCAGAAACUGUUCCAGAACAUUUAAAUGAAAUGAGUGUGUCCUAAAAAUACUUUAAAAACGGCCAAGUGAGAACAUAUCCCUUAACCCUUUUAAACUUUUGUACAUUGGAGUCGUUGGUAUCUAUCAAAGAUCAUUUUGACAUCCAGCUUAAGGUAGUGUCUCCUUUCUGGACUUAUCCGCACAAGUAUGAUAGGAUUAAGUCGACGUGGUGUUAAUGCAGGACCUUCUUUGAGCUUGCCAUCUACUCUGGAAGACUCGACAAGCAAUUGGAAAGGGACUUCUGCUAGCACUGCUGAUCCUUCCCAAGGAGGUCCUGGUGGGCCAGGUGCUCCGGGAGGCCCUGUUUCUGCGUCGGCUGGUCCUAACGGCCCUGGAGGGUCAGGAGCACAGGGUGGUGGUGUAAAUAAUUUUGGUGCACCUGGUGGUCCCAACAACUUCGUUGGUCCAGUCUUUCCUGCUUCUGGCCAAGGAUCCCCUGCCGGAGGAUCGACUGGCAACAGCUAUCCAAAUGUUCCACCUGGGACUGGUUCCAACACUCCUCAAUAUACAGCUUCACCAGCUCCAUCUGGAUCAUCAACGCCUGGACCUGGCCCUCCUCAAAGUGUAGGUUCAAGUUUUCCUCCUCCUAAUUCCAGUGGACCAUACAAUGGACCUGUUGGUGGUGGAGUACCUGUAGCUGUCGGACCGUUCAGUUCACCGUCCUCGAAUGGUCCACAAUUUGGAAGACCCAGUAGUUCGGGAUCAGCAUUUGGUACCGGUCCCCACUUUACAUCCCCCAGUGGGCCUGGAUCUUUCGGAACUCCGCAAUUUAGUCUACCACCUGGAUCACCAUUUGGACAUGGGCCAAAUGGACCUAAUAUAGGAGGUCCAAUGGGACAAGGACAUUUAAUAAGCGGACCUCAAGCCACCGAUCGCAUGGACCAAAGUCAAUUGAAUGUACCCAGGAGGCAUGCCUAUUUCGGACAACCAGACUAUAGAAUAUAUGAGUUAAACAAACGGUUGCAACAAAGAACUGAAGUAAUUAUUAUUUAUAUUAUUUAUACGCUAGUAUGUACUUUCAAUCAUUAUUUGUUUUGUUUCGUUCCAUCGUUUAAGGAAAGUGAUAAUUGUUGGUGGGACUCUUUUGCAAACGAGUUUUUCGAAGAUGAUGCAACGUUAACGUUAACCUUUUGUUUGGAAGACGGACCAAAAAGAUAUACAAUAGGACGCACUCUGAUUCCACGAUAUUUUCGAAGUAUUUUUGAGGGUGGCGUAACAGAGUUGUACUUCAAUUUACGACACUCAAAAGAGUCCUUCCACAACACUUCUAUCACAUUGGACUGCGAUCAAUGCACCAUGGAAACAAUUCAUGGUAAACCAAUGUACACUAAGGUGCUUACAGAAGGACGGCUUAUAUUGGAAUUCACAUUCGACGACUUAAUGAGAAUUAAAUCAUGGCACAUGGCCGUCCGGACGCACCGCGAACUCAUUCCACGUUCAGUCAUCGCAUUACACAGUCCCCAGCCAGAUCCAGCAAUGCUGGAGCAACUGUCAAAGAACAUAACGAGACAAGGCAUAACUAAUUCAACCCUAAAUUAUCUGCGCUUGUGCGUCAUAUUGGAACCUAUGCAGGAAUUAAUGUCAAGGCAUAAAGCUUAUGCUUUGAGCCCUAGAGAUUGCCUGAAAACGACAUUGUUCCAAAAGUGGCAGCGGAUGGUCGCACCGCCUGGUAAGAAAGGAGAUGCCCAAAGACCGACAAAUAAACGACGGAAACGUAAAGGAUCUAGUUCGGGUGCAGGAGCAGGUAAUGCAGGACCACAAAUGCCGAACAAAAAACGAUCUCCUGGUCCAAACUUUUCGCUGGCGUCUCAGGUAGAUGUAAUGGUUGUUGGUGAACCAUCGCUGAUGGGUGGAGAGUUUGGAGAUGAAGACGAGCGACUUAUUACACGUUUGGAAAAUACGCAGUACGACGCAGCCAACUCACUGGACCACGAUGGUCACAAUACUUUUGGAGGUCAUAACGAAAGCUCUAUGACUGGUGGAGCGAACUCAUGGCAAGUUGAUCGCGGGGGUGGUCCUUCUAAUAACUCUGGUUCAACUAGUCAGGAUGCAGAAAAAAAAAGUCCUUCCGUUUCACAAUGACAGACAUAAAUUCAACGCACUCAAUAAGUUUUCAUUGUACUACAUUUGUUUGAAUAAGCAAUACCUGUUGUCUACUGCAAGAUCCAGCCCGAAUAAUCGUGAUCAGAUUGCAUACCAACAGAUCCGCAGUUGUAUCAUAUUCUAAUCUUACGUCGAAUGGUGUCUAUGUACUACAAAGCAUAAUAUCUAGAAACGGAUGGAAUGAAUUCAUCAACACGGGGGCGCGCACAUUCACACACACACGUGUGUGUGUGUGUGUGUUACAACAUAACGUGUUUUUGUAUUGCAAAUGUUGUUGCGAUGCAUUACAAUUCGCUUACUGAUGAUUGAUGAUAAUCAUUACUAUUUAAAUGAAUAAAAUAAAAAUAUUUUCUGGAAAAUAUUGUGUUAAAAUCAAAUUUAUACAGAAACAAUACAGUUUUUUUUACAUUAUUCGACGAUCACUCUAGAGUGGGUACCACUUUAUCCAGCUCCACCUCGCUGUCAAAUAUACAAAAAAGCACACCAUUUUCAGUUUAUUUCAGUUGAACUGAUUGCAUAAGACUAUUAAUUUUUUUAAACCAAAAAGACAUCUCAAACUAUCAAAUCCAUCGGGGAAGCAUUGUUAAUUGAAGUAUUGUUAAAAAAAUCCGAUACAUCAUAUAUGGAAAAGGUGUAGUAUUUGUUUACCGUAAAACAGAAGACGUUUGUCAUAUGUUUGCAUUUUGUGAGUAAUAAAAUGAUUAACUACUUCAUAGCGAGUUAGGUUUAACAGAGCCGAGUAGAUGCUCUGUGUCAAUAAGGGGCAUAUUGUAAAUUAUUAAACAUCUCCUCGUUUCGAAAUAAAACCUAAAUUCAAAUAUA